UACGGAGGGGGCUAGCGUUGUUCGGAAUUACUGGGCGUAAAGCGCGCGUAGGCGGAUUGUUAAGUCGGGGGUGAAAUCCCGGGGCUCAACCCCGGAACUGCCUUUGAGACUGGCAAGCUGGAGUUCGAGAGAGGUGAGUGGAAUUCCGAGUGUAGAGGUGAAAUUCGUAGAUAUUGGGUGGAACACCGGUGGCGAAAGCGGCUCACUGGUUCGAAACUGACGCUGAGGCGCGAAAGUGUGGGGAGCAAACAGG
rnacentral:rRNA from 1 species